rnacentral:rRNA from 1 species
GACGAACGCUGGCGGCGUGCUUAACACAUGCAAGUCGAACGGUGAAGCGCCUUCCUUUUUGGUGGGUGUGGAUGAGUGGCGAACGGGUGAGUAACACGUGAGUAACCUGCCCCCUUCUUCUGGAUAACCGCAUGAAAGUGUGGCUAAUACGGGAUAUUCUGGGUCUGUCGCAUGAUGGGUCUGGGAAAGAUAUUGUUUCGGUGGGGGAUGGGCUCGCGGCCUAUCAGCUUGUUGAUGGGGUGAUGGCCUACCAAGGCGGUGACGGGUAGCCGGCCUGAGAGGGUGGACGGUCACACUGGGACUGAGACACGGCCCAGACUCCUACGGGAGGCAGCAGUGGGGAAUAUUGCACAAUGGGCGCAAGCCUGAUGCAGCGACGCCGCGUGAGGGAUGGAGGCCUUCGGGUUGUGAACCUCUUUCGCCAGUGAAGCAGGCCUGCCUCGUUUGUGGGUGGGUUGACGGUAGCUGGAGAAGAAGCGCCGGCUAACUACGUG